GACCAGCUAAGGCUCACUGCUAAAUACCAGGGACCCUCUAGCUCUCCAACACUGGAGUGCUCUUAGGUUCACUCCUCUCCACCAGCAAAGAUGCAGGAUGGCUAGUCACUGGCUAACCCAAAGGCAGCAGAUAUAGGGGCCAGGUAGUAGCAAGGAGAUGUUGGAGAGCAAUAAGAUGUCAGAGGGGAAGAGCAUCCAAACCGUGCAGUCACGCUGUCAGCUGUGACUUUAAAUAGAAGAGCAGGCCCACAGCAGACCUACAACUAGAACGCAGGUUUCCUGAGUCUCCGUCCAGUGUGCUAUCCAAGGGGGCUGCAUAAUCUGUUAUGUCAAGAUACCUUGAGAUCCACAUGGAUACCAAGAAAUCCAUGGAUUUAUCUCCCUUUGCCCACAGAUGAGCAAAUCAUGAAGACUUUGCUUCCCCUGCAAGAGGAAUUCAGGAAAACCUCUGAGGUUUCAAACUCCAUGCAAUUGCUUUUCCUAUACCUGGGUUUUUCUCAUGUAUGUAAUAAUGAGGACUUCAGCAAAGUUUUCAGGACUUGGCCUAUAUAACCAUUAACUAGAAUGUCCUAUACAGAAUCUGUUAAAAUAAAUUAAGAACAUCAAUUUACACCACCUAAGGAUCUGGCCCAAAGUCUCCAUUGGUUCUGUAUUUUUUAUUUAUUUUUGUUUGUUUUUGUUUUAUUUUACCAGAACAUGAGGUCUGUAUUAAA